GAAAGAGUGAGACUUCCCCUUAAGGACCAAACUUCUGGAAUAAAAGGGAAUCGUGACAUGUCAUGUGUCUUUAAGGGGUUAAACUACUACAAAACACACCUGCUAAGGGAGGGGUGGGCCUCCCCAACAUACACCUAUACUUCAAAGCUGCUGCCCUGGCAUCAAGUAUAGCGGCUCACUCACCCCUAGGCCACACACAAUGGGUGGACAUGGAGAGGGACCAAUUUCAAGACAACUUCCUAACAGACUACCUAUGGACCCCAAAACACCUUCGAAACGCACACAAAACACUCCCAAGCACCAGGUUGACUAUAAUGAUGUGGGAUGCCUUCAUGGCCCAAAUUGGCUCCAAGCACAAACUACACCUCAAAGCCCCCUUGACGACACUAAAAACCAUAUCCCAAUCACUGUCCCUCCGAAACUGGAUACACAUAGGUAUAAACAGACUUGAGCACCUCCUGGAAGACCGACACAAAGUAAUAACAUUUACAGACCUGCAACGGUCCAGGACACCUUCAAAUACCUACAAGUACGAAGUUUACUGACUUCUCAUGCUCUCUCCCCACCAGACACCGAUAGCACGAAUAACCCUCCUUGUUCAUGCUCCGAUGUAGGGAAACACCGAACAAACCCAAGGCCCUCUCCAUUUGCUAUAGGGCAUGGCUAGAGAUUCAGCCGGAUAAACCACCACUGUGUAAAUCCCAGUGGGAAAAAGACUUGGGCUCAGACAUCUCUGAGGGAGACUGGCUGAGAACCUUGAACGGAAUAUCUAAAUGGACAAAAUGCUAUUCUCACAUAGAGGCCCAUAAAAAACUACUUUACCGCUGGUACCUUACCCCAACCAAGCUCCACAAAAUAUAUCCAACAGUGUCUCCCUUGUGCUGGAGGUGUGGGACGGAGGAGGGUUCGAUGAUAC